UUGAAGUUUCCCUGCAAUGUCCACCAAGUCUUCAAGCCCUCAAGAUUGCAUUCAUAAUGUGCACCUUGGUUUCAUGGCUGAAGGUCCCAAUGAAGCCUUUUCUCGCAUUUGCAUCUGUGACAUUGUGCGCAAUAUAUGAGCGGUCCACGUAUGAACCUCCAAAGGUCUGGAACUGAGCCCACAAUAUCUCUGAGAUAUGCCUGUGUUACUUUGAAAUUAAAAAAAGGAUUUCUUCAAACAAUGCUCACUUCAAAGGUAAUAAACAUGGAUAUUUUAAUAUACUUAAACGCAAUAUGACUAACAACAAUACUAGUAAUGAUACUAUGUAUUAAAAGCCAUAUAAAACAGCCAUUGCUUACAUUAAUAAACAAGAAUAAAGGAGAAUAAAUGUACA
rnacentral:lncRNA from 13 species